rnacentral:lncRNA from 1 species
CCCGGCAACGGCGCCAAAAAUGCUUGUUGACACUUGCUAGCACCACUUGAAUACUAGGUUGUCAUCCCCAGCAUGGCACUAGAGUGUACUAUGAUAUUUAUACGCACACAGAUAAUCCGCAAGCGCAUGGAUACCGUUGAAGCUUUUAUCCGGUUAAAGGUUUUAUCGUAUCCACAGGGAAACAGGAGAACUGAUCUACGCUCUAACUUAACCAAGAUAAGUAAAUAAGUGUAAAUAGGAAAGAUGGUAGAAUCGAAUAAGAACAAUAUUAAAGGUAAGAUAACAGUGAGUGAUAAUAUGGGAAUAGAGAGUAGAGCAAUCUAGUAUAUGGGCGAUGGUAGCAGAAUAGAGAGGAUAACUAUGGUUUCUCUACUUCAAAGGGGUAUGUCUAUGUCUGGGACGAACCACGUGAUAAGAUUACACCACAAAGGAUGCUUAUCCAUAGGCCGAUAAACCCUACCCGUCCUGCUAACGGGAGGUGGACUAUAGAGGACCAACGUAACUGUUACCUACACGGCCUACCACACGAUCCAGCUAGACAGGGGAUAUCCACAAGUAAUUUAGAUCUAAGCACCUCGCUUACACCUAUACUACAACUCUCACCUAUAGCGUCCUAUAGAUUAGAAGUACUCAAAAGAGUUGUGAACCAGAACAUACAUGAUUAGUAAUUGCAUAAUGAAUUAGAAGUAGAUUACC